rnacentral:rRNA from 1 species
AUGGUCUUGCCUUGUGCUCGUGCCCUUAUGGCCUUAUUUACGAAACAAGUUGAAUGCUUGUGGUAUCAGAUAUUAAGACCGUGGCUACCAAGCGAUACGAUAAAAAUCUCAAGUUAUCAGUAUGGUGUGCGGCACCUGUGUAGUACGUCUACAAAACAUGCAUGCCCUAGCGUCAUACCAGCUCAAUGCCUUGCAUCGGCAUGCCAGUCAUUCGCACUUACAAAAAAGAUGCAGUGCAUUUUCCAUUCGAGGAGUUCGACAAGGUUUAUGUACAUCAAAAGCAAAUGCUGCAAUCUAACGCUACAACAUAGCAUCUGGUGCGACCCAAGCGAAGUUAGAUCUACAUUACAGUUCACUCACAUGUUGCACUUACAGCUGAGUAAGGCCGCACCAUCAGAAAUCCUGAAGAACUGGGAAACCCUCAUCAAGCCUCUGGGUGGCAUAGGCUCCUUCACACCCCAUGUGGAUCAUCCAAUCCAGAAGAAUACUCUGCUGAGCUACAGGUUGCACAUGCACAGCAGUGUUACAACUUCAUGA